GAGGCUAUGAUCAUUAUGAUGGAGAUUGUGUUGCCAAUGUGCUUUGUUUUGUUUCGGUGAGGCCUAGGCCUAAUAGGAACUUCAUCCAAUAAACAAUGUCGGUAAUGGUUUGCCGAGGAAGGGACCACUUUGAUACCGCGGGUGCACAAAAAAUGUUCCUUUUCCUGUGAUGGAGCUUCAAUUUGUAGGCGUCGCAUGCUGGUGCGAGUUCCAGCCGGUCCGUAUUGCUUGGGAGAGAGAGCUUUCUAGAGAGAGAGAUAGAGAGAGAGAGAGGGUUUUCUAAAGAGGGAGUUUUAGGGCGUGGAAGGAAGCAGCCAUGGUGGAGUGUGCAGCGCGGGGCACGGGAACGCCAUGCGUAGGGCCUGCAACAAGGCGCUGUGGCCUCUGUGGAGCUGUCUCCUACUGCUCCCCCUCUCACCAGAUUGCCCACUGGGGUCAUCAUAAAGAAGAAUGCGGUAGACUAGAACAACAAAUGAGAGACAUGGAUACUUUGAAUGAUUUUCCAUUUACAUUCUCUACUGAAGCUACAUUCCAGGUUUUUGCGAAGGAGUUGACACGUUGCUCAUUCCUAAAGAAGAGAGGCCUUCAUCAAACUGGUCUAUGGAAAUCAGAAUGCAGUUGUGCAACUUCACUAGCUUCUCUUGAUUAUUCAUGGAGAAUGGAUAAUUGGGAUUUACCAAGUGCCAUGUGCCCAUGUACUGAACCACAACAUAACUUAUCAAGCAUUUUGAGCAGUUGGGAGAGUUACUAUAAGUGGAGGUGUCUCCCUCUUCAUUCACCGGUUUCCUUCCUCCUCCAUCUGCCCCUUAGCAUGUUCUAUGGAAUUCAACUUCUUGGCAUGGGAAGAGCAGUUUCUCGAAUGGAUGACAAGUUGCGUAUUCACUACUUAGGAACACGCUUCUUCGAUAAGAUUGCUGGUGCAAGGUGCGGGGCAAAUGCCAUCACCCACAUUCUUGUGGGAACUAUUUCCUUCGAGGAUCCCCCUGUUAUUGGUCCAGAGAAGGAGCUAAGCCAAAUUUCUGUCUUUGGGGAGUUGCGAGCGUUGUUUCCUAAUAUCCAAAUACACAUAGAUCUAAUUGGGCCUUCGAUUCCGCUCUCUAGGGAUGGUGAGCAGCUUGUACUUGACAAUUAUAUCAGGUGUUCGGAUAUGGAUUGCUCGUGUAAGUUAUCAAUGUCUACUGCUGAAAAUGCAUGCAACACCAAUUAUUCAAUAGUGAGUUUACAGCUCUGGAAGGGUCUUUAUCAUGACCGUUUCAAAGACAUAACAAAGGAGUCAUUCCCUAAUUAUAUUACUGCUCCAAAUGCUGGUGUUGCUGCGUAUCCAGGUUGGGUGCCAACCAUUACAUGGCAGGGUACCAAGUCCAGGUCCAAAACCCUGCGACUCAUCUGAGUCUUAAAAUGGUUAGAAGCCUUUCUGCGUGAUAUUCAUGGAGAGUUGGGCCAGUGGGACUGCUGACUCCGGCUCAUGACCUUGGUGAGUCGGGACCUUCGUCCAAGUUUUGAAUCACUGUUGCAGACUGAGUGGUCGAACAUAGUGCAACACAUGACACGCCAUAAAUGCAAUUCAGACAUAUUUCUAUUGGUUAUGUAAAGAAGUGCACUGUUGUUUACAAAGAUCUAUUCAGAAAAAGUUUGAAACAUUCAAUGUCAUUCAUAAUACAAGGUGAUUGGGAAUCUCAGUUAACUUGAGUAAACAUGUGGUUGACUGAUUUGCUUACGUGUAGCGUUUUCACUGACUUUCCAACCACCCCAUUUGCUGAAAAAUGGAAAAUUUAUUCUCGUAGUACCCAAUCUUUUAUAGUAGCAUUCUCCUUUACUAUUCACCUACUUGUAGCAUGGUUGAUCACUCAAACAGAUGCAGUCGCUGUGUGAAUCAUCGGUUAUUUGUUCAUUGCAUAUUCUGACAAACAAUGCGUCUUUGAUUAACCUUUUUGUUAUGUAACUGAAACCAUUAGUAAAGAAACUGCUACAAUAAUUCCAAACAUUUUUCUUUCCUGUAGUCUGGACUUAUUGUCUUGUUGGCUUACGUUUAAGCCCCUAUUAUGUCCUCCUUUUUCUUGUAUGCUGUUUCCAGGAACUAAUAAAGGAAAUAAAAGUGCCAGCAAUAUUCUCGGAUUACUGCGAAGAAGCUGCAAAUCUCGCAGCUUCCUGCAUAACAAGCAUUUUUGAUGCUCCUCUCUCUUUACCUAUUCAGUUGAAUCCUUUCAGGCAGCCAUUUGUGGUGGAAGAUGGGCCUCUUCACCUUCCAUGUUAUUCAAACUGUUUCCUCUUUGGGAUGUAG